GACGAACGCUGGCGGCGUGCCUAAUACAUGCAAGUUGAGCGAUGAAGCUUGGUGCUUGCACCAAUUUGAAGAGCAGCGAACGGGUGAGUAACGCGUGGGGAAUCUGCCUUUGAGCGGGGGACAACAUUUGGAAACGAAUGCUAAUACCGCAUAACAACUUUAAACAUAAGUUUUAAGUUUGAAAGAUGCAAUUGCAUCACUCAAAGAUGAUCCCGCGUUGUAUUAGCUAGUUGGUGAGGUAAAGGCUCACCAAGGCGAUGAUACAUAGCCGACCUGAGAGGGUGAUCGGCCACAUUGGAACUGAGACACGGCCCAAACUCCUACGGGAGGCAGCAGUAGGGAAUCUUCGGCAAUGGACGAAAGUCUGACCGAGCAACGCCGCGUGAGUGAAGAAGGUUUUCGGAUCGUAAAACUCGGUUGGUAGAGAAGAACGUUGGUGAGAGUGGAAAGCUCAUCAAGUGACGGUAACUACCCAGAAAGGGACGGCUAACUACGUG
rnacentral:rRNA from 1 species